rnacentral:rRNA from 1 species
UGGGGAAUAUUGGACAAUGGGCGAAAGCCUGAUCCAGCCAUGCCGCGUGUGUGAAGAAGGUCUUCGGAUUGUAAAGCACUUUAAGUUGGGAGGAAGGGCAGUAAGCGAAUACCUUGCUGUUUUGACGUUACCGACAGAAUAAGCACCGGCUAACUCUGUGCCAGCAGCCGCGGUAAUACAGAGGGUGCAAGCGUUAAUCGGAAUUACUGGGCGUAAAGCGCGCGUAGGUGGUUCGUUAAGUUGAAUGUGAAAGCCCCGGGCUCAACCUGGGAACUGCAUCCAAAACUGGCGAGCUAGAGUAGGGCAGAGGGUGGUGGAAUUUCCUGUGUAGCGGUGAAAUGCGUAGAUAUAGGAAAGAACACCAGUGGCGAAGGCGACAACCUGGGCUCAUACUGACACUGAGGUGCGAAAGCGUGGGGAGCAAACAGG